GAUGAAGAACGUAGUAAAAUGCGAUAAGUAAUGUGAAUUGCAGAAUUCAGUGAAUCAUCGAAUCUUUGAACGCACAUUGCGCCCGCCAGUAUUCUGGCGGGCAUGCCUGUUCGAGCGUCAUUUCAACCCUCAAGCACAGCUUGGUGUUGGGACUCGCGUUAAUUCGCGUUCCUCAAAUUGAUUGGCGGUCACGUCGAGCUUCCAUAGCGUAGUAGUAAAACCCUCGUUACUGGUAAUCGUCGCGGCCACGCCGUUAAACCCCAACUUCUGAAUGUUGACCUCGGAUCAGGUAGGAAUACCCGCUGAACUUAAGCAUAUCAAUAAGCGGAGA
rnacentral:misc_RNA from 1 species